rnacentral:rRNA from 1 species
CACGUAGGGCGCAAGCGUUGUCCGGAAUUAUUGGGCGUAAAGCGCGCGCAGGCGGUUCCUUAAGUCUGAUGUGAAAGCCCCCGGCUCAACCGGGGAGGGUCAUUGGAAACUGGGGAACUUGAGUGCAGAAGAGAAGAGCGGAAUUCCACGUGUAGCGGUGAAAUGCGUAGAGAUGUGGAGGAACACCAGUGGCGAAGGCGGCUCUUUGGUCUGUAACUGACGCUGAGGCGCGAAAGCGUGGGGAGCAAACAGG